rnacentral:tRNA from 1 species
GCCCCAGUAGCCUAAUAGAUAAGGCAUUAACCUUCUAAGCCAGGAGUUGUAGGUUUAAGUCCCCUCUAGGGUG